AAAAUGCGAUACUUGGUGUGAAUUGCAGAAUCCCGUGAACCAUCGAGUUUUUGAACGCAAGUUGCGCCCGAAGCCAUUCGGCCGAGGGCACGUCUGCCUGGGCGUCACGCAUCGCGUCGCUCCCCCAACAUUUCCUUUGGGAUGCUUGGCUGGGAGCGGAUAUUGGCCUCCCGUUUUAACUGAGCGGUUGGCCAAAAUGAAGGCACCUCUUGACGGGCGCAAGACUAUUGGUGACACAACCAUGAUUUUUGUUGAGUGUCUCGUCAAAUGGUUGCUUCUUAUUGACCCAACGCGUUGUCUUCUGAUGACGCUUCGACCGCGACCCCAGGUCAGGCGGGACUACCCGCUGAGUUUAA
rnacentral:misc_RNA from 1 species